GCCCAAGGUCACACAAAAGGGAGGGGGGGAGCCAGAGUCUGGACCUGGUGCUGCCUGAGGCCACGCAGGGCCUGGAGGCGAGGCUGGGUCCUGUCACUGGGGACAGGACAGGGCUUGGGAGAGCCGGGCCCCCUUGAAAGGUGGCCUGGUUUGAACCCAGCUCCGCCCCUUAACUCUUAUGUGACCCUCCGCAAGGUGAGCUGAGUGCCUUGGUUCUCUGGGUCUCGCUUGCAAAAUGGCCCGAAGCCCAGGAGAUCCACCCCCUGCCCGCCGAGGCUCUCAAGCUGAUGCUCACCACCGGCACUUAGUGAAAAGCUGUCCCCAAGCCUGGCUGCUGCGGGCUCGGACUUCUCACUGCGGUGGCUUCUCUUAUUGCAGAGCACCGGCUCUAGGUGCAUGGACUUCCGGAGCUGUGGCUCACGGGCUUAGUUGCUCUGUGGCCUGUGGGAUCUUCCCGGACCAGGGAUAGAACCCGUGUCCCCUGCAUUGGCAGGCAGAUUGUUUACCGCUGGACCACCAGGGAAGUCCAGAAAGGGUCCAUGCCCCACCGCCAGGAAGAGGAUCCCAGGGUCUCGGAGGCCCCACCAGAUACACCCGCCAGCCUGGGGACCCUGGGAAACAUCCGGCCGGCCCGGGGUGGAUCCAGCCGGCUGCCCCAGCCAGAAGGGAGCCUAGCGGCCUUUACAACGUGUGAGAUUUCUCACCAGUGGCAAUGACAGCAGAGCGGGCUCCCAGCUCCCAGCCCACCCCACUGCCGUGGGGGCUGCUGCUGCAAGUUGAAAGCGAGCUUCCCUCUGCAGGGCCCCGGCAGUAGGAACAGCCGGUGGGCCCUGGAGCCCUCUGCCCCCGGUCCCUCUGUUCACCUGACCCUCUGCCUGCCUGCAGCUCAGGAAACCUGUCCCCUACAAGCCAGAAGGAGCCACCAGAAACAAAGGGGAGGCUUUCUUUGUCCUCCACUGCCUGGUUCUGUCCAUCCAUUCAUUCAUUCCCCAUUCAUUGAGCACCUACCUACUGUGGAGGAGAAGGGGACGACAGAGGGUGAGAUGGCUGGACGGCAUCACCGACUCGAUGGCCAUGAGUC
ensembl:lncRNA